rnacentral:tRNA from 1 species
AGCAUUGCGCCGGAUGAACGGAAAUCGUUGAUGUUGAUUAUUAUAAGGAUUGUGAGAUUCUUUGAUGCUA